rnacentral:rRNA from 1 species
GUGAGGAAUAUUGGUCAAUGGGCGAGAGCCUGAACCAGCCAAGUCGCGUGAAGGAAGAAGGAUCUAUGGUUCGUAAACUUCUUUUGCAGGGGAAUAAAGUGCGGGACGUGUCCUGUUUUGUAUGUACCAUGAGAAUAAGGAUAGGCUAACUCCGUGCCAGCAGCCGCGGUAAUACGGAGUAUCCGAGCGUUAUCCGGAUUUAUUGGGUUUAACGGUCACGUAGGUGGUUUGAUAAGUCAGCGGUGAACGUUCGCAGCUUAACUGUAAAAAUGCCGUUGAAACUGUCGGACUUGAGUGUAAAUGAGGUAAGCGGAAUGCGUGGUGUAGCGGUGAAAUGCAUAGAUAUCACGCAGAACUCCGAUUGCGAAGGCAGCUUACUAAGCUACAACUGACACUGAAGCACGAAAGCGUGGGGAUCAAACAGGAUUAGAAACCCCUGUAGUCC